rnacentral:rRNA from 1 species
GAUGAACGCUGGCGGCGUGCCUAACACAUGCAAGUCGAACGGAGUCCAGCCUUUAAGACCUUCGGGUCAAAGAGGGGAAGACUGAGUGGCGGACGGGCGAGUAACACGUGGGCAACCUGGCUCAUAGAGGGGGAUAACAGAGAGGAAUUUCUGCUAAUACCGCAUAAGCACACACUGCCGCAUGGCAGAGGGUGAAAAGAGAAUCGCUAUGAGAUGGACCCGCGUCUGAUUAGCCAGUUGGCAGGGUAAGAGCCUACCAAAGCGACGAUCAGUAGCCGAUCUGAGAGGAUGAACGGCCACAUUGGGACUGAGACACGGCCCAAACUCCUACGGGAGGCAGCAGUGGGGGAUAUUGCACAAUGGGGGGAACCCUGAUGCAGCGACGCCGCGUGAGUGAAGAAGUAUUUCGGUAUGUAAAGCUCUAUCAGCAGGGAAGAUAAUGACAGUACCUGAAUAAGAAGCCCCGGCUAACUACGUG